rnacentral:rRNA from 1 species
CAAACGACUCUCGGCAACGGAUAUCUCGGCUCACGCAUCGAUGAAGAACGUAGCAAAAUGCGAUACUUGGUGUGAAUUGCAGAAUCCCGUGAACCAUCGAGUUUUUGAACGCAAGUUGCGCCCAAAGCCAUUCGGCUGAGGGCACGUCUGCCUGGGCGUCACG